rnacentral:tRNA from 1 species
UACAAAAUGUUGUAUUUGCAUUAAAAAUUUUGAAUUUUUGGGUAUUAGUUUGAUCUAAUUUUUGUAA